rnacentral:rRNA from 1 species
UGGGGAAUUUUCCGCAAUGGGCGAAAGCCUGACGGAGCAAUGCCGCGUGGAGGUGGAAGGCCUACGGGUCGUUCAACUUCUUUUACUCGGAGAAGAAACAAUGACGGUAUCUGAGGAAUAAGCAUCGGCUAACUCUGUGUCAG